rnacentral:rRNA from 1 species
UACAGAGGGGGCAAGCGUUGUUCGGAAUUACUGGGCGUAAAGGGCGCGUAGGCGGCCUUCUAAGUCGAACGUGAAAUCCCCGGGCUCAACCCGGGAACUGCGUCCGAUACUGGAAGGCUUGAAUCCGGGAGAGGGAUGUGGAAUUCCAGGUGUAGCGGUGAAGUGCGUAGAUAUCUGGAGGAACACCGGUGGCGAAGGCGACAUCCUGGACCGGUAUUGACGCUGAGGCGCGAAAGCCAGGGGAGCAAACGGG